GAAGCCUAGUGGUUAGAGCGUACGUCUCGUGUGCGGGAGGUCGUGGGUUCGAUCCCCGGUAGGGUCA